GCUGGAUGCUGCAAGCCUUAUGCAGGGAUGAAUGGAGGCACCUUGUGCCAGUGGGCUGCUUCCAGCCCCAGGAGGCUUUGCACAGAAAGUUAGGCAGGACAAACCAUGGCACUGUUGCUUCUAGAUUUUCCCUGUGUUUUGUUAUUUAUCUGCUCUUCCCCAACAUGAGUGCAGGGGAAAUAAAGCUGUUUUAUUGUUAUUUUAGAUUUACUUGAUAUUACUUCAACACUUUCUGUCUCCUGCUGAGGAAAAUAUCAUGAUAUAAAUAUUGAACUUUUAACUAUGCUUUGAACAAUUACUAUUCUACAGCAACAGGUAUUAAUUAUAUUGAAGUUGAUCAUGCGUAUUUCUAGGAACCUUAUUUUAAAAUAAAACUUAAAAGUCCAUAAGCUAAAAG